AAAGCACAGGGACGCUUCAGAAGUGUUACGCCGGGCGAUGGUAGCCCCGGUUGUAAAGGACACAAUUGAGUGGAAGGUAACAUGGAUGGAGACAAGAAAAGCUGUGUGUAUCUGGAAGGAGCCCGUACCGCAAACCGACACAGGUAGAUAGGAAGAAGAUUCUAAGGCCAGCGGGAGAAGGGUUGUUAAGGAACUCGGCAAGUUGACCCCGUAACUUCGGGAGAAGGGGUGCUUACGAAGGUAAGCCGCAGAGAAUAGGCCCAAGCGACUGUUUAGCAAAAACACAGCACUAUGCUAAAUCGAAAGAUGACGUAUAUGGGGUGACACCUGCCCGGUGCUGGAAGGUUAAGAGGAGAUGUGAGAGCAUUGAAUUGAAGCCCCAGUAAACGGCGGCCGUAACGAUAACGGUCCUAAGGUAGCGAAAUUCCUUGUCAGGUAAGUUCUGACCCGCACGAAUGGUGUAACGAUUUGGGCACUGUCUCAACAACCUACCCGGCGAAAUUGUAGUAUCGGUGAAGAUGCCGGUUACCCGCGACUAGACGGAAAGACCCCAUGGAGCUUCACUGUAGCUUAAUUUUGAAUUUUGGUAUUUCAUGUACAGGAUAGGUGGGAGACUGGGAAAUACAGGCGUCAGCUUGUAUGGAGUCACUGUUGGGAUACCACUCUUGAGGUGCUGAAAUUCUAACCUGCGUCUUUGAAUCAAGACGGGGGACAUUGUUAGGUGGGCAGUUUGACUGGGGCGGUCGCCUCCAAAAGAGUAACGGAGGCGCUCAAAGGUUCGCUCAGCAUGGACGGAAACCAUGCCAAAGAGUGCAAACGCAAAAGCGAGCCUAACUGCGAGACUGACGGGUCGAGCAGUAACGAAAGUUGGAGUUAGUGAUCCGGCGGUAUGUGAGUGGAAAUGCCGUCGCUCAACGGAUAAAAGCUACCCUGGGGAUAACAGGCUGAUCUCCCCCAAGAGUCCACAUCGACGGGGAGGUUUGGCACCUCGAUGUCGGCUCAUCGCAUCCUGGGGCUGAAUUCGGUCCCAAGGGUUUGGCUGUUCGCCAAUUAAAGCGGUACGCGAGCUGGGUUCAGAACGUCGUGAGACAGUUCGGUCCCUAUCUGUCGUGGGCGUAGGAUAUUUGAAAGGAGCUGUCCCUAGUACGAGAGGACCGGGAUGGACGCACCUCUGGUGAACCAGUUGUCACGCCAGUGGCACGGCUGGGCAGCUAAGUGCGGAACGGAUAAACGCUGAAAGCAUCUAAGCGUGAAGCCGACCUUAAGAUAAGAUAUCCGGUAAAAAA
rnacentral:rRNA from 1 species